UACAGAGGUCUCAAGCGUUGUUCGGAUUCAUUGGGCGUAAAGGGUGUGUAGGUGGCGCGCUAAGUCGGGUGUGAAAUUUCGGAGCUUAACUCCGAAACUGCAUUCGAUACUGGCGUGCUUGAGGACUGGAGAGGAGACUGGAAUUCAUGGUGUAGCAGUGAAAUGCGUAGAGAUCAUGAGGAACACCGGUGGCGAAGGCGGCGUUCUGGACUGUUUCUGACACUGAAAAACGAAAGCCAGGGGAGCAAACGGG
rnacentral:rRNA from 1 species